rnacentral:rRNA from 1 species
UAGGGAAUCUUCGGCAAUGGGGGCAACCCUGACCGAGCAACGCCGCGUGAGUGAAGAAGGUUUUCGGAUCGUAAAGCUCUGUUGUAAGUCAAGAACGGGUGUGAGAGUGGAAAGUUCACACUGUGACGGUAGCUUACCAGAAAGGGACGGCUAACUACGUGCCAGCAGCCGCGGUAAUACGUAGGUCCCGAGCGUUGUCCGGAUUUAUUGGGCGUAAAGCGAGCGCAGGCGGUUUGAUAAGUCUGAAGUUAAAGGCU